UACGUAGGGGGCAAGCGUUGUCCGGAAUUAUUGGGCGUAAAGAGCUCGUAGGCGGCCUGUCGCGUCGGCUGUGAAAACCCGAGGCUCAACCUCGGGCCUGCAGUCGAUACGGGCAGGCUAGAGUUCGGUAGGGGAGAGUGGAAUUCCUGGUGUAGCGGUGAAAUGCGCAGAUAUCAGGAGGAACACCGGUGGCGAAGGCGGGUCUCUGGGCCGAAACUGACGCUGAGGAGCGAAAGCGUGGGGAGCGAACAGG
rnacentral:rRNA from 1 species